rnacentral:sRNA from 1 species
UGAAUUUGCCCAAUUUUAAGAUGUGUACAC